rnacentral:pre_miRNA from 1 species
AGUGGGAUAGCUGGGUCCAAUAGUGGUUCCAUUCUAGGUUUUUUGAGGAAUUUCCAUACUGCUUUCCAUAAUGGUUGCACCAGUUUGCAUUCCCACCAGCAAU